AGCGAACGCUGGCGGCAGGCCUAACACAUGCAAGUCGAACGAACUCUUCGGAGUUAGUGGCGGACGGGUGAGUAACACGUGGGAACGUGCCUUUUGGUUCGGAAUAACUCAGGGAAACUUGUGCUAAUACCGAAUGUGCCCUUCGGGGGAAAGAUUUAUUGCCAUUAGAGCGGCCCGCGUCUGAUUAGCUAGUUGGUGAGGUAACGGCUCACCAAGGCGACGAUCAGUAGCUGGUCUGAGAGGAUGACCAGCCACACUGGGACUGAGACACGGCCCAGACUCCUACGGGAGGCAGCAGUGGGGAAUCUUGCGCAAUGGGCGAAAGCCUGACGCAGCCAUGCCGCGUGAAUGAUGAAGGUCUUAGGAUUGUAAAAUUCUUUCACCGGGGACGAUAAUGACGGUACCCGGAGAAGAAGCCCCGGCUAACUUCGUG
rnacentral:rRNA from 1 species